CCUACGGGAGGCUGCAGUGGGGAAUAUUGGACAAUGGGGGGAACCCUGAUCCAGCCAUGCCGCGUGUGUGAAGAAGGCCCUCGGGUUGUAAAGCACUUUCAGUGAGGAAGAACGCCUGGUGGUUAAUACCCAUCAGGAAAGACAUCACUCACAGAAGAAGCACCGGCUAACUCCGUGCCAGCAGCCGCGGUAAUACGGAGGGUGCGAGCGUUAAUCGGAAUUACUGGGCGUAAAGCGCGCGUAGGUGGCUUGAUAAGCCGGUUGUGAAAGCCCCGGGCUCAACCUGGGAACGGCAUCCGGAACUGGCAAGCUAGAGUGCAGGAGAGGAAGGUAGAAUUCCCGGUGUAGCGGUGAAAUGCGUAGAGAUCGGGAGGAAUACCAGUGGCGAAGGCGGCCUUCUGGACUGACACUGACGCUGAGGUGCGAAAGCGUGGGUAGCAAACAGGAUUAGAUACCCGUGUAGUC
rnacentral:rRNA from 1 species